UCUAACGGAUAGUUCGAGGAGUGGAAUGAUUGGGUAAAGCCAUGAAACGUUCCCUCUGAGACUACGGUAAAAAGGAAAGUUUGUUGUCAGAUCGUUUAAUUAAACGGUCUGGCUUUUUUGCUAUUGGAGAUAUCAAA
rfam:Desulfosporosinus sp. BRH_c37 BRHa_1004570, whole genome shotgun sequence.